GUCGACGGUAACAUUGAUGCUUGCAUCAGAUGACGAGUGGCGCACGGGUGAGUAACGCGUAUACAAUCUACCUUUUACAGGGGGAUAGCCUUUAGAAAUGAAGAUUAAUAUCCCAUAGUAAGUAGUUUUGGCAUCAAGACAACUUUAAAGUUUCGGCGGUAAAAGAUGAGUAUGCGUUCUAUUAGUUAGUUGGUAAGGUAACGGCUUACCAAGACCACGAUAGAUAGGGGCCCUGAGAGGGGGAUCCCCCACACUGGUACUGAGACACGGACCAGACUCCUACGGGAGGCAGCAGUGAGGAAUAUUGGACAAUGGGCGCGAGCCUGAUCCAGCCAUGCCGCGUGCAGGAAGACUGCCCUAUGGGUUGUAAACUGCUUUUAUACAGGAAGAAACCUUUUCACGUGUGAAAAGCUGACGGUACUGUAAGAAUAAGGAUCGGCUAACUCCGUGCCAGCAGCCGCGGUAAUACGGAGGAUCCAAGCGUUAUCCGGAAUCAUUGGGUUUAAAGGGUCCGUAGGUGGAUAAUUAAGUCAGGGGUGAAAGUUUGCAGCUCAACUGUAAAAUUGCCUUUGAUACUGGUUAUCUUGAAUUAUUGUGAAGUGGUUAGAAUAUGUA
rnacentral:rRNA from 2 species